GCACUGCUGAGGAAUCCCAUAAUAGGACGAAACGGCCGUCCAGUAC
rfam:Schistosoma curassoni strain Dakar, Senegal genome assembly, scaffold: SCTD_scaffold0008900